rnacentral:rRNA from 1 species
GUAGGGAAUCUUCCACAAUGGACGAAAGUCUGAUGGAGCAACGCCGCGUGAGUGAAGAAGGGUUUCGGCUCGUAAAACUCUGUUGUUAAAGAAGAACAUAUCUGAGAGUAACUGUUCAGGUAUUGACGGUAUUUAACCAGAAAGCCACGGCUAACUACGUGCCAA